UGAGCCGGGCGCCCAGGCACCAGCACCCCCAUCCUCAGGCACCACAGGGCUCCCCGAGUGCGCUGCGGGCACGUGAGACGGCUGGAGGUGGAGCUGGGCCAGCACCUUGUAUUUUAGUUGCCAGCCUCCGGGGAGGUGAAAAACAGGGGCUCAGGAGUCUGCCGGGCCUCUGAAGUCAGAAGUCCAAGACAGGUCUCCUGAAGCUAAAAUCAAGGUGUCUGCAGAGCCGUGUGCUUCCCAGAGGCUCCGGGGGAAAAUCUGUUUCCUUUCCUUUUCCAGCUUCAAGAAGCUGCCGGCUUGCGGCCCCGUAUCACGCUGCCCUCACUUCUGUUGUCAUAGCUCCUUCCCUCUUUUUUGAGGCCAGGAGAAGUCCAGAACCAGGGUGUCAGCAAGGCGAUGCUUUCUCCCCGAAGACUGCAGUGCUCUGGGGCCGGCUGCGGGCGAUCCUUCGUCCUGGGCUUUUCUGUCACAUGGCAGUGCACGUGCAGGUGUCUUCUUUCUCGUCCAGGUUCCGUUGACUUCCAGCUUCUUGCUUCUCCCAGGGCUUCUCUUUACUUCAGCCGUAUUGGAUGAAGGGCACAUCUGAACUAAUAGCAUCUACAAGGUCCCACUGACAAAAGGAUUCACACCCACGGGACCAGGGCUUGGGACCUGAAUGUGUCUUUUGUAGGGGACACGAUUCAAUCCCCAACAGGCCACUCUCUGGAGCCAAAAAGUCAUGUUCUUCCCACAUUCAAAAUACAUUCAUUCCGUCACAACCCCAAAGCCUUAAGCCAUUCUAGAACAUUAAAAGUAAAAAGUCUCAUCAGAAUCAGUUUCAGGUGUGAUACAUCUAGGGCAAAACUCCUCUCCAGUGGACCUGUGAAACCAAGAACACAAGUUAUCUGCUUCCAAUGGACAGUGGUGGGACAGACAUAAGAUAAACAUUCCCAUUCCACAAGGGAGAAUCCAUUUCCUUUCAUGGAGUCACUGGUCCUGUGGUGGUUUGGAAGUUCUUAUGUACCCCAGAAAAGGCCAUGUUCUUUUGGUCCAUUCCUGGGGGUGCAGAUCUGUUGUAACUGGGACCUUAUGGUUAGGCUAUUUCAGUUGAGAUGUGACCUGCCCAUUCAAGGUGGGUCUUAAUCCUUUUACAGGAGUCCUUUAUGAGAGGAUAAAACACAUACAGAAGCAGAGAAAUAAAAUUCA